AUUGAACGCUGGCGGCAUGCCUUACACAUGCAAGUCGAACGGCAGCACGGGAGCAAUCCUGGUGGCGAGUGGCGAACGGGUGAGUAAUGUAUCGGAACGUGCCCAGUCGUGGGGGAUAACGUAGCGAAAGCUACGCUAAUACCGCAUAUUCUCUGAGGAGGAAAGCAGGGGACCUUCGGGCCUUGUGCUGAUGGAGCGGCCGAUAUCAGAUUAGCUAGUUGGUGAGGUAAAGGCUCACCAAGGCGACGAUCUGUAGCGGGUCUGAGAGGAUGAUCCGCCACACUGGGACUGAGACACGGCCCAGACUCCUACGGGAGGCAGUAGUGGGGAAUUUUGGACAAUGGGCGCAAGCCUGAUCCAGCCAUGCCGCGUGAGUGAAGAAGGCCUUCGGGUUGUAAAGCUCUUUCGGACGGGAAGAAAUUGGUGGGGCUAAUAUCCCCAUCGGAUGACGGUACCGUAAUAAGAAGCACCGGCUAACUACGUGCCAGCCGCCGCAGUAACAC
rnacentral:rRNA from 1 species